rnacentral:rRNA from 1 species
GGAGUAUUGGUCAAUGGGUGAGAGCCUGAACCAGCCAUGCCGCGUGCAGGAAGAAGGCCUUCUGGGUUGUAAACUGCUUUUGCCAGGGGCUAAAAAGUCCAUGCGUGGAAAAUUGAAAGUACCUGGUGAAUAAGCCACGGCUAACUACGUGCCAGCAGCCGCGGUAAUACGUAGGUGGCAAGCGUUGUCCGGAUUUAUUGGGUUUAAAGGGUGCGUAGGCGGCCCUGUAAGUCAGUGCUGAAAUAUCCCGGCUUAACCGGGAGGGUGGCAUUGAUACUGCGGGGCUAGAGUACAGAUGAGGUAGGCGGAAUUGACGGUGUAGCGGUGAAAUGCUUAGAUAUCGUCAAGAACACCUAUAGCGAAGGCAGCUUACUAGGCUGUAACUGACGCUGAGGCACGAAAGUGUGGGGAUCAAACAGGAUUAGAUACCCUGGUAGUCCACACUGUAAACGUUGAUUACUCGCUGUGUGCGAUAUACAGUACGCGGCCAAGCGAAAGCGCUAAGUAAUCCACCUGGGGAGUACGCCGGCAACGGUGAAACUCAAAGGAAUUGACGG